rnacentral:rRNA from 1 species
GCGGUGGAUGAUGUGGAUUAAUUCGAUGCAACGCGAAAACCUUACCCACCUUUGACAUGUACGGAAUCCUUUAGAGAUAGAGGAGUGCUCGAAAGAGAGCCGUAACACAGGUGCUGCAUGGCUGUCGUCAGCUCGUGUCGUGAGAUGUUGGGUUAAGUCCCGCAACGAGCGCAACCCUUGUCAUUAGUUGCUACGAAAGGGCACUCUAAUGAGACUGCCGGUGACAAACCGGAGGAAGGUGGGGAUGACGUCAAGUCCUCAUGGCCCUUAUAGGUGGGGCUACACACGUCAUACAAUGGCUGGUACAAAGGGUUGCCAACCCGCGAGGGGGAGCCAAUCCCAUAAAGCCAGUCGUAGUCCGGAUCGCAGUCUGCAACUCGACUGCGUGAAGUCGGAAUCGCUAGUAAUCGUGGAUCAGCAUGUCACGGUGAAUACGUUCCCGGGUCUU